rnacentral:misc_RNA from 1 species
UUCCCCCUUCAGUCAAGAGUGAGCGGAGGGAGUUACUCUUAUCAGUGGAUGAGUUUGGCUCAGGAAAAUGGUUGGCAUGUUUUGCUUGAUGCAUGUGCAUUGGGACCAAAGGAUAUGGAUAGCUUUGGACUCUCCUUAAUCCAUCCUGACUUCCUUAUUUGCUCUUUUUAUAAGGUUUUUGGUGAAAAUCCUACAGGGUUUGGAUGCCUCCUUGUCAAGAAAUCAGUUGUGUCGAUGUUGGAAGGUUCGGUUAGUACAGGCAUUGUGAGUCUUGUUCCACCAACACAAGUAUUAGAUUCAUCUGGGAGUGGAGAUAAAACCAAUUUUGUUACGAAACUGGAUGAGCUACAUAUAUGUAGGUCUAAUUCAGCUGAAAAGGAUAAGAUCAAAGAGGAAUCAGACGAAUCGAUUAGUAGACUAGGCAAGGUGGAAGAAAAAGGGAUUGAAUGCAGAUGCUUGGAUCAUGUGGAUUCGCUCGGACUGAUUCAAAUUGGUAAUAGAAGAAGGUACCUAGUGAAUUGGCUUAUUAGUGCACUCCUGAAGCUUGAGCAUCCAAACAGACUGGACCAUUUUCCUCUGGUCAAAAUCUAUGGUCCAAAGAUAAAAUUUGACAGGGGAACUGCUAUGGCGUUCAAUCUGUUCGACUGGAAAGGAGAAAGGGUGGAACCAAUUCUCAUACAGAAGCUUGCUGAUCGAAACAAUAUAUCGCUCAGCCAUGGGUUUCUGUCACAUUUGUGGUUUCCAGACAAGUACGAGCAAGAGAAGCAGAGGACUUUACAAGGAAAAAAAUGUGAUGCAGAGAACAAAAGAUGUGAAUUUGGGAUAUCAGUAGUCACCGUUGCCCUUAACUUUCUGGCAAACUUUGAAGAUGUUUAUCGGCUUUGGACAUUCAUAGCUCAGUUUCUCGAUGCAGACUUUGUGGAGAAAGAACGGUGGAGAUACAGCUCCCUGUAUCAGAAAACCAUUGAAGUUUAACAUACCUGUUUUUGUCCACAAAAUGUAUGACAGUCCAAACAUUUGGAUGGAAACCUAUAUAUUGUGAAUCACAGGAUAAAAAGCUAUAAAUAAGAAAUGUUGUUGCAUUUAAGAACAAAAAUUGGAAUGUAUUUUCAACAAAACGUAAUAACAGG